CUUUGAGAUCUGGAUGAUUCUCAUUCCUGACCCACAGAGAUUAACAUAACCGUCAUGUGGAAUUCUUGCUGCAAACAGAUCGUGUCCGGGACGGGUGAAGGAGAGGAUGAAGGAUAACUCACAAUUGUUCCAGGAAGAGUGAUCCACCAAUACUAUGGACUCUCCUCCAUCGAUUCUCCAAAGUGACUUUGCUGCAUUGACUCCUGAUUUACACCAGGUUAAGUGACGCAGUUCCAUGACUGAUAACAGCUUUUUGAGCAAUUGUAGCUGAUCAACUAAUUCCGGAUGAAAAGUCAGAUGCAAAUGCCUCCUCUGCUAUAAGGGACUGGAAGACAGACAGUAUUUUAACAACCCAGCUUGGAAUUACAAGAGCAUUUGAACACGGGACCAACAAAAUGAAAACUAUGAGCCUUUAUCCCUUGAGCUAAAGGUUUAAGCUAGAAGUGUAGCAGACUCAUAAAAAUCUUAUGUGGAUCAGCCACUAGAGGGGAACAAAGACCCAUAAUAUUUCCUAGAUUUGCAAUGAAACCUGAAAUUUGACCUAUAAUCUGCAGGUCACAAGAUAUUGAUUAUCAUCCUAAUAGUAUUAUACUGGCAACACAUGUAUUUUUUUUUGCUGGAUUGGAUUGAAUUGUUGACAAGGAUAAACUCAAUAGAAUUUAUUAAUCACAUAUUUCACUAGCAAGCGGAAGGAAAGCAAAUAUUGUUCCUUCCCUGAUUGUUUUCAGGGAUGCAGGGAUUAUAUUAAAUACACUGCCUCCGAAUCUGGGUGAGAAAUGAAGGGACAAUCCAGCCAUUAGCAAAAGUAUCUUUUUCCUAAUGAAACAGUUUCUGAUUUGGAUACUUGAUAUUGUGUGUGUGUGUGUGUGUG